GCGAACGGGCCCUUCGGGGCCCUAGUAGAGUGGCGAACGGGUGCGUAACACGUAGGUAACCUGCCCUGGAGCGGGGGAUAACUACCGGAAACGGUAGCUAAUACCGCAUAAAGACCGGAGGUCGCAUGACCACCGGUUGAAAGCCUUCGGGCGCUCGAGGAUGGGCCUGCGGCGGAUUAGCUAGUUGGUGAGGUAACGGCUCACCAAGGCAACGAUCCGUAGCUGGUCUGAGAGGAUGAUCAGCCACACUGGCACUGAGACACGGGCCAGACUCCUACGGGAGGCAGCAGUGAGGAAUCUUGCGCAAUGGACGAAAGUCUGACGCAGCCACGCCGCGUGAAGGAAGACACCCCUAUGGGGCGUAAACUUCUUUUCUAUGGGAAGAACACCCUGUUCGGCAGGGUCUGACGGUACCAUAGGAAUAAGCACCGGCUAACUCCGUGCCAGCAGCCGCGGUAAUACGGAGGGUGCAAGCGUUGUCCGGAAUCACUGGGUGUAAAGGGUGUGUAGGUGGGACAGUAAGUCAGAGGUGAAAUCCUGCGGCUUAACCGUAGAAUUGCCUUUGAUACUGCUGUUCUUGAGUCCUGGAGAGGUCGUUAGAAUUCGUGGUGUAGCGGUGAAAUGCGUAGAUAUCACGAGGAAUACCAGAGGUGUAGACGGACGACUGGACAGGUACUGACACUGAGGCACGAAAGCGUGGGGA
rnacentral:rRNA from 1 species